rnacentral:misc_RNA from 1 species
GGAGGGGAAGCGACGCCGGUGGCGGGGGAGGCGGCCAGCUGGGGGGAGGGGGGAGAGGCGGCGUCAGCGGCGCGAUGGCGGAUCUGCCGCGAGAGGGAGGCUAGAGGGCCGCCGCUUCCCCUCCCCCUCCCCUCCGGCGGCGCCGCCCCCUCUCCCCCUCCCCCCAGCUGGCGGCUUCCCCCGCCACCGGCGCCGCUUCCCUUCCCAUCUCCCUCCUUUC